rnacentral:rRNA from 1 species
AACGAACGCUGGCGGCAUGCCUAACACAUGCAAGUCGAACGAGACCUUCGGGUCUAGUGGCGCACGGGUGCGUAACGCGUGGGAAUCUACCCUCAGGUUCGGAAUAACUCAGAGAAAUUUGAGCUAAUACCGGAUGAUGACGUAAGUCCAAAGAUUUAUCGCCUGAGGAUGAGCCCGCUUAGGAUUAGGUAGUUGGUGAGGUAAAGGGUCACCAAGCCGACGAUCCUUAGCUGGUCUGAGAGGAUGAUCAGCCACACUGGGACUGAGACACGGCCCAGACUCCUACGGGAGGCAGCAGUGGGGAAUAUUGGACACUGGGCGAAAGCCUGAUCCAGCAAUGCCGCGUGAGUGAUGAAGGCCUUAGGGUUGUAAAGCUCUUUUACCCGGGAUGAUAAUGACAGUACCGGGAGAAUAAGCUCCGGCUAACUCCGUG